GUUCAGACACUGGAAAGCUCAUAUCUGGAGGUAAGUAGGUUCAAAGGAAAAGGAGACAUAGCACAGCGUAUAGCGAAAUGAUAUAACUCCUUACUAGUCCCAAUAGUUACACACAUUGAAUCAGAUUAGAUUCAGAUAUCGAGGUAGAGCCUUGUGCUAUAUUUCAUGAAAUGGGCCUCGGCAUAGAGAAAUCAUUAUCCUGUGCUCCUUGCUGGAUUGCCUCCCACUCAGAGAGGUGACCCAGCUGUGACCCAGACUCUGAACAGUUCUGUGUAAAUUUAAUUUUCAGCAUUACAUCAUUCCAACCGGAAUCUCACCUCCUUGCUUGCUGUUGUGCUGUGUGGCUUACCUGGUAGUGGGGAGACAAAAGGAGAGGAAGAAAACACACUGCAGGUUACGAAAUAGGAGACCAAGUGAGUUAGCCACAAGAAAAUUCAAAUGCUCAAUGGAUGACAAAGCAAGGCUGAAGUAUGGGAGUGUGAAGAGUUUGUUUCCUGACCAGCUUCAUUCAGGGAGACUGCCCCAGACAUUGUGAUGAAGACCUGGAACAAGAAAAUACCUCACAGAACUCUUGAAGCCUCAAACCUGUUAUUUACAAUGGGAUUGCAAUGUAUGAUGGCCUCAAAUUAGACUUUAUUAUAGCUUUAAUCCUCUUUCUUGCUUAUCUCUGAUUGUUGCUUUCUUAUCAGCAAGCAAGAACUGAUGCACAAAGAUGGACAGUUACUUCAGUAUUACAGUUUGCUUCCCCAUCACAGUGUAGCCAGCCACCUUGAUAUUUACAUACACAUAAUGGACUGCAGGGAAGUGCAGCACUUUGUGUUUUUUUAGGAGUCAGUCAUCUUGAGUCAUCUUAAAAAAAAUCACCUUUGUGUGUGUUUGCAACAUAUAAUUACAGGAGAAGCAGUAGUAACAACUUCCAAAUGAACAUUACCAAAUACUUUCCAGUAGAAAAAUGAUUAUGAUCUUUUGUGAAAUGUUCUGUGCCUCCAUGGCUAGCAACGGGCCUUUGAAACUUGACAGGAGGAUAAUCCUGGCACCCUUUUUGUUGGCUUUAUGAAAACAAAACAAAAAAGACCAAAAU
rnacentral:lncRNA from 1 species